UUUUUUUUUUUUUUUUUUGGCAGCUACGAUGUUGUUGUAAUAGGAGGUGGUCCAGGUGGAUACGUUUGUAGUAUUCGUUGUGGUCAGCAUAAAUUAAAAGUUUUAAAUGUAAAUGAUGAUAUAAAAUUAGGUGGUACUUGCUUAAAUAGAGGAUGUAUACCUUCCAAAUCAUUAUUACACAUAGCGCAUAAUUAUUACGAAUCAAAAUAUAAAUUUAAAGAUAGUGGAAUAUUAAUUGAUGAUAUAAAACUUGACGUUGAACAAAUACAUAAACAUAAAAACAAAUGUAUGAACAGUUUAGCUGAUGGUAUAUCUUAUUUAUAUAAAAAAAUAAUGUAAAUUAUAUGAAAGGACAUGGUAGUAUUUUAGAUGAACAUACAGUUUUAGUAAAAUCAAAUAAUGAAGAAAAAAAAGUAACAGCCGAACGUAUUGUUAUAGCUACAGGAUCUAAACCAAUUGAAAUGCCAUUAAAAUUUGUUAAACUAAAUGAUGAAAGUGUAACUGAUAAUUCUAAAUUGUUAGAAACUAUUCAAAAUGGUAACGAUAUACUUGAAUAUGACCAUGAAAUAAUUCAAACAUCAGAUGAUAUUGUUUACUUUAAAAAAAUCCCUAAAUGUAUGACUGUUAUUGGAGGUGGUGUUAUAGGAUUAGAAAUAGGAACUGUUUUUGCAAAAUUUGGAACAAAUGUAACUAUAUAUGAGUAUAACAAUCGAUUGUGUAGUUUUCUUGAUGAAGAUGUAAGUAAAGUAUUACAUAAAAUGUUAGAAAAAAAAAAAAAAAAAAAAAAAAAAAAAAACAUAUAAAUUAUGAUCUAGUACCUAGUGUUAUUUAUACACAUCCAGAAGUAGCAUCUGUUGGUUAUAAUGAACAAAAAUGUAAAGAAUUAAAUUUAAAAUUUAAAGCAGUUACAUUCCCAUUUGCUGCAAAUAGUAGAGCUAGAGCAAUAGAUGAUUAUGAAGGUUUAAUUAAAUUACUUGUUGAAAAAGAAUCGAAUAAGUUACUAGGUGCUCAAAUUAUUGGAAAUUCCGCAAGUGACUUAAUACACCUACUUUCUGUAUAUAUAGCCAAUAAAGGAACAACCAAAAAUCUGAGUAAACUUAUU
rnacentral:lncRNA from 1 species